GGGGGAUCUAACUGACAAUCCAGGAAGUCGCCCUGCAUGUAAACUGCCGAUCUGAAUCAUGUGAUCACGGUGUCAUCACUAUUACGUGACGCAUGGGUGGGAUUUGCUGUAGUGGGAUUUCAGGCAGUCUCCCCAAUUGGGAUUGCAACAGAGAGUAAGAAUCCAGGCCAGGGAGGGGGUGCCAAUCAUUAGGUUAAAGCAAGAUGGCAUAGCACGCCCUAAUGGCAUUAAUGUAGCUCAGGGACCAGCAAAGCUAGGGGGCUGGGCCUUGAUAUAGCUAGGAGGCCUGCACAAAUUAUAUGCUGCUUGGUAAUUGGUUCUGUUUGCAGUGGGGGUGUUUUUUUUGUUUUGUUUUUUUAUCAGAUUCAAAUAAAUAACUGUAAUUUUAGAUCAAAGUAGCCUUUUUUAAUAAUCCUUACUUACCUGUUGGUUAUUUUCGGGUCUGUGGGGAUUUCUUUUAUGUCUUUCAGAUGGAUCCUAUCGAAAUGGAGGCUUUACUGGAUGGUAUCCGAUCGACAGUGCAAGAGAGAGGUGAACCCUGGCUGCAGGACCAUUUAAGAAUGGAUGUUUCCCUGGACCUUCUAUUGCACCAGCGCGACGACUUAUGAGGCACACUAGGCCUCCCCAACGCCUGAGUCCCAGCGCAGUUCCUGGGAAUCGCCAGAGGAAGAGCCCAUCCCCAGGUGGCUUCCAGGAGAGAGGAGUAAGGUGGGACCCCGGAGGGCACAAAUUCACACAGUAAAAUAUAUUUUAAAAGCUACACUAUCAUCUUUGG